UUAAGUUGCGUUCGCGGGCUGCUCUUUUCCGGCGCCUGGAGGUGGCCGGCAGCUGCUCCUCGGGGCCUUUUACGCCUGUGUUUUAUUCGCGCAGGGGUCUGCAGCUUUGCUGAGGAGCGCGGCUGGAAGCAGGGGCACGGGCUAGCAGGCUGCUGGGUGAGCGCGGGGUGUUCCUGGGGACCGCACGCCCAGGGUAAGAGCUUUUUACUUUUCCUUCCCUCCUGUGGUGAGUGAGGAGGGUAAGUGAAAGCAGACGGCUGACCCCUCUGUGGGCUGUGUGCAUUUCUGUACCGAGUAAGCCCCUUCCAGCACUGCAGGGUCCCUGCAGAGUACCACGUCCUGAAGGCUGGAGCCAGCCCAUCUGUGAGGGCUGCCGUGACAUCCUGGUGAUGAAGCGGAGCCAAGGUGACUGUCAGUCAUGACCGCGGGAGCAAAUUCAGGCCGCAGACAAGCAGGUACCACUUUCCUUAAGGAAAGACUGUCACUGGUUCUGGACAUUUGCCUGUGGAGCUGAGAGGACCAAAAAUAUGAAGUUAAUUAUAAUGGAGAUGAAUUAGUGCUUGCGGUGUUUCAGGCGCAGGCCUAUUACACCAAGACCGGUGAUGCGAUGGGCGAACUGAGAGCUGUGCAAGCGUCCCGCAGGGCAGAAGUGCGGACGACCGAGAUCGACCAUUUUCUUCUCUGCUCUCAGAGCUAAAUCCUGUCCCCGAAGGAAAAGGGGUAGGCUGUCGGCUACUCGGAUACCUGCCGCGUCAAGGGCGGCAGCGGGAGCUGACCCUUCCCCUACAGAGGCCGGCGUACAGAGAGAUGACCCUUCCUGUCACACGGUAAGGGGAAGUGCGCUGUCACCGUGCUCCGUGGCAGGCUCGCUCCCAGGUGAUGUUUCUGCGCAGUCAAACAAUAAACAGCUGGUUUAUUC